rnacentral:tRNA from 1 species
CGGGUGUGGCGGAAUUGGCAGACGCACCAGACUUAGGAUCUGGCGCCGCAAGGCGUGGGGGUUCGACUCCCUUCACCCGCA